rnacentral:piRNA from 1 species
UUUUGUUUGAAAAAACACUGC